UUUUGUUCAAUCGGUGCGAUAACGACGAGCACACAUUCCACACUUUCGGCUUGUGUUAUUCGUUGUUGCAUGUUCGGUACAACGUGUUAUAUUUUCUAAAUUGCCGGUGAUAAUUAGUGUUAAUAAACGUAUUUGAUCUUUUAUCAGCUAUUUAUCGCGUGUGUAAUCUUCGUAAUUCUAAAUUUUGUGCGUUUAAUUUAUUAACGUGUUUGUGAGUCGGUUGUCGUCGGGCGCCGACCUGCGAUAUAUUGUGAACGCUUAUCAAUUAAUUGACUUGUGAAAAAAAUAUUUGUCAUCAACAGAGGAGCAUGGAUCAUUCUGCUACCAGUGUUCGCCAACUUGUCGUCGAUAUCCAAUCUUCCAUAACCGAUGUCAAGGAGUUGAACGUGACCACCGUGUACAAUCGUGCCCGCAUUCAAUUGUGAGUAUUGAAAUUCUUAUCACUUUCAUAUCUGCUUUGUUUACGUAGCCUGCAAUAUCUUUUCCUUGUUUAGUCGAUCGUGCGAUGUUGUUCGGUACACACGUGUUUUGUUCACAAUUUGAUCUUCAUAACUAGUUUGCGCGUUUCUUGUGAUUUUACGUGGGUAGUUGAAUUAGAAUCGAUCAGCAAUGAUAACAUUUAGAAUUAACGGACUAGUGCGGCGUACAGUUAAUGAAUUAUCGCGCGUGGAAGUCAGAAUUGUGUAGUUUUACAAUGUGCGCACGUUUUUGGCCGUCGGGCGUCGGAUAUCUUACGUCAGAGAAGUCCGUCCCAGUGAUUUUAUUUGCGUAAUGAUAUUAAUUUGUGAAACUAAACACUGUUUGUUCCUGUGUGGAACAUUUUAACCGAGAAAGUGCACGUAGGUAACUGCAGCAUUUACAUUCGACGAAUUAAACAAUUAGUGAAGAUGUUUCAUGGACGAAAUGAUUUUAUCAGAAGUUAAGGAAAAGCGAGGUAACCGUUGAAUAAGUAAAUAUUCUGAAAAUAAUUCGAUUUUAACAAAUAAUUUUAAAAUUUAACAUGUACUCAUGUGAUUGCAUGCAAUAAACUAUACUUUUAAUAUUA